CAGUAGCCGCGGGAAUACGGAGGGUGCGAGCGUUAAUCGGAAUUACUGGGCGUAAAGCGUACGCAGGCGGUCUGUUAAGUCAGAUGUGAAAUCCCCGGGCUUAACCCGGGAACUGCAUUUGAAACUGGCAGGCUAGAGUCUCGUAGAGGGGGGUAGAAUUCCAGGUGUAGCGGUGAAAUGCGUAGAGAUCUGGAGGAAUACCGGUGGCGAAGGCGGCCCCCUGGACGAAGACUGACGCUCAGGUACGAAAGCGUGGGGAGCAAACAGGAUUAGAGACCCCUGUAGUCCCUGUCUCUUAUAC
rnacentral:rRNA from 1 species